GUUGAACGCUGGCGGCAUGCCUAACACAUGCAAGUCGAGCGAAUAAAUAAGGCUUUUGCUUGUAUGAAGCGAGGGACGGGUGGGUAAGUCCUAGGAAGGUACCCUAUAUUUAAGAAUAAGGUCAGUAAGGGAGACCGGAUCCCGCAUAGGACAAUAUUUAGAAACGCAGGGAUCGUCGGUGCUAGCUGGAUUUGCUAUCACUAAUAGGUGGAACCGCGCCGUAUUAGCUAGUUGGUAGGGUAACGGCUUACCAAGGCGACGAUACGUAGAUGACCUGAGAGGGUGAUCAGCCACACUGGAACUGAGACACGGUCCAGACUCCUACGGGAGGCAGCAGUGGGGAAUCUUGCACAAUGGGCGAAAGCCUGAUGCAGCAAUGCCGCGUGUGUGAAGAAGGUCUUCGGAUCGUAAAGCUCUGUAAGUUGGGAGGAAGGGAAGUAAGUUAAUCUGUUCAUGUUUUGACGGUACCUAAAGAGAAAGCCACGGCUAACUACGUG
rnacentral:rRNA from 1 species